rnacentral:rRNA from 1 species
CAGUAGCCACGGGAAUACGUAGGGUGCAAGCGUUAAUCGGAAUUACUGGGCGUAAAGCGUGCGCAGGCGGUUUGUUAAGUCUGCUGUGAAAUCCCCGGGCUCAACCUGGGAAUGGCAGUGGAUACUGGCAAGCUAGAGUGUGUCAGAGGAUGGUGGAAUUCCCGGUGUAGCGGUGAAAUGCGUAGAGAUCGGGAGGAACAUCAGUGGCGAAGGCGGCCAUCUGGGACAACACUGACGCUGAGGCACGAAAGCGUGGGGAGCAAACAGGAUUAGAUACCCGCGUAGUCCCUGUCUCUUAUAC